GUGCUUGCCUCAGGAGCACAUGUACUAAAAUUGGAAUAAUACAGAGACUAGCAUGGUCUCUGUGCAAGCAUGACAUGCACACACCCAAAAUUAGUUCAGUCUGA